CCCGGAUUUCCCUCGGAGGCCAGGAGAGGAGAGCAGAGGGAGGAGGAAGGGAAGAGCUGGGUCCUUCGGAAGGGGGUGCUUGGGUUGAGGGUCUUUGGAGAGAAGAUCUGGGCUCCUGGAGACCACCCAGCAACCAUCCUCCCUGUUCACAUCCUGAGGGUCCCAGCAGGAGCCAGGUGAGGAGACCGUGAGGAGCAGGCCUGUGUCCUGUCUUCCCUGGGCCGUGAGACAGGGUGGAGGCUGAGCACACCUUUCCCAGGGCAAAGCAGAACAGCACCUACGGUGUGGGGGGUGCCCAGCAUGGGGGCUGGGCUGUGGGGUGCAGGGCAGGGGAUGGGCAUAGGAGGGCGAUGGCCCCGUCACCCCUGCAGUCACACUCUUUCUUGUCCUGGGCACCUGCACUAGACCUCGGCCUGGAGCGGCGGCUUCCUGGCCUGCAGUGUCCCUGGAGUCUGCUCGAGCUCUGGAGCCGGGCAUGGGAGGCCAGCAGCUUCCCAGGACAGCAGGAGGGCCCAGGCCAGUGCUUGGCAGACUGCCCCGGGAGAAGGGUCCCGGGUGGGGGGAUCAUGAUUUCCAGAAGGGUCUGUGGCUCUGAGUGUGUAAGUCUGUCCGAACUGUCCAUGAGGUGUGGUCAGGGAAACACAGGCAGAUUUUACUUCAGGCAGAGGAAACUGGGUUUUGACUCUAACUUCCUGCCGACUCCAGGGCAACGAGCCAAGCCCCGUUAUCACCUGUGCAGAGGCGACAGCCUGGUAAAGGGAGGUGGCGGCGGGAGCAGGGAGGGCGCUCGGGGCUCAGUCGUCGGGGAAGGGAGAAGUUGCCCGGCGCUGGUCAGCGUCCCUGGGAUUGGCCCCAUGUGUCUGCAUCGGCCACUGUUGAGGUCAGGAUUCUGUCCUCCAGAGCCUGGAGAACCGGCCCCUCCUUCCCGCUGAGGACACUUCAAGGGAGCGGCUCUCAGGUCCCGAGGAAGACCCUCCUGGCCACAGGAGACGCGCAGACAUCGGGAAUGGACAGAAGGACGUGUGGCUGCAGCACUUUCAGCAGACGCUCUGAGAAAGGGAGGUCGGGGAUGGAGCAGACGGCUGGCUCUGACAGGGCCUCAGACCUAGGGCAGGAGCAAUCCCUGCCCCAGACCUCCUGGGUCACAGCUAAUGCACAGACAUCAGGAACGGACAGAGGAAGGGCGUGGGGUUGCAGCCCUCUCUGCAGGUGCCCUGAGACGGGAGCAAGAAGGUCCUUGCCAGGUGCUGCUGGACUUGCUCUUGGACUUCCUCUUGCUCCUGGACUUGCCCUGCCACCUUGCACUUGGACUUCUCAGCCUCCAGAACUGUGAGAAAUAAAUUUCUGUUUAGUAUAAAUUAUCCAGUCUUAGGCAUUCUGUUAUAACAGCACAAAACAGACUAAAACAACCUGUUCAGACCUAAGGUGAGAUAACCCCUGCCCAUAUCUAAGGAUCCCCUGCUCCAGACCUCGGUGGUAAGGUGAAAACAGGACUCCCUCUGAGGGAAAUCCCAACAGCAAUGCCCGGGAAGGCAUCUGUAGGGCCCAGCAGGCCAGGGGAGGCCCGGGACACACCUACACCAUCUCUCAUAAAACCCCUCCGUUCUGUUAUAACAGGAGCAUAUGGUUAUAGCAUAGUUUAAAAAUUAAACCAAAACUGAAAGUAAGCAUUGAUUAAUCCAUGGACUCCUUUUCACAGUUUGGUGUUUGUGUUUACACCACAGUCAUGUCACCAUGUGUGUUGAGCUUUGUACCCUGUUACCAAAUGAGGUCACCCCGUGAAUGCUGCAACGUUAUCACAGAUACUCGCAUAGGAGCUGCACUCUCAUUAAACAAAGCAAUGUAUCCAGAUCACUCAGAAUCUGUGCCUGCCACAGGGAGCAGGAGGUCAGGGCAAAUGAAGAGCCACGGCAUGGCAGGGGAGCCUCUGCAAGGAUGCCGAGCCUUGUGUGGACAGAGUUGCUGUAGGCAGGCUGCCAUGGAACCUUGCCAGGGAAGCAGCGCCUCUCGGGGAUGGCAGUGAAGAUGCGACAAGAGGGUGCAUUACCUCCAGAUGGAAGAUGCAGUGCUUGCUUUGCUCCUUGGUGCUUGGAGAGGGAAAGGGAUGUUGCCAUAAAGUUCCUGGAUGGACUCUGGCUCGAUCAGGCAUGGGCAUCUUUGGGAGUAUGAGGGUGGGUGGCUUUGUGCACAUCUUCCAUGAGGAGCUGUCAGUAUUGGGGCAGACAUUUUAAGUAUGACAGACAAAGGAUGUUCUGCAUGGGGAAAUGUGGUGACACCAUUUCACAAGGACGGCUCAGAGACCGAGUGCUCAGGAAGGACCGGCCCCAGACCCAGCACCUGAUGUGUAUCAUCUCAUUUAAUCCUCGCCUCCGAUGCAAGAGGAAGCCAUCACCACCAUCAUCACCAUCAUCAUCAUCCUCCUGUGCAGAUGGAGAGGAGGCAUAGAGAGGCGAUAGAGUCUGCCUCGGACUGCCAGCCAGUUGGUGGCAGAGCUAGGGUUCCGAUGGAAUGAAUGUUGUCACCCUCAGACGGCAGGGUAGGCAGGUGGCUAGAGCUCACCCUGGGAGAAGGGGAAAGGACACCGACUUUGGGUAGGGAUGGAGCAGGGCUUGGGCUGGCUUUCCAUGCAUGGGCAGCAGGUGGGGCUCAUGGCUGUGCUCCCACCCCGGGUGUAGACAUCGGAUCUUCCAGGUCUGCCCCGGGCUAUGGGUCUGGACAGCACUUUGAUGAAGAGAAGACACUCUGUGUCCUGCCGUCUGUGACCCGUGGUGUGACUGUGGGAAUGGUGCUGGCGUCUGGCUGCCCCCCUGGGAUGGGACCAGCAUGUGACUUCUCCCCUCACUCCUCCAGGUCACCUCCAGAGCCCCAGGAGGGCUAGCAGAGCCUCUCGAGCAGAUGGCAGCUCAUGUUCUGCCCUGCUAGCUGCUCCUCCCUGGGCAACGUUGGCCCCUUGCUGUGGCUCUCCCCGAGGUAUGCGAUUGCCUCUUAGCUGGGCGCCUGGCCUGGGCUUUCCUUCGGGGCCUGGGCAGCAGCCACAGCGGGGCCCGUGGAGGUGACAGAGUCGCCUCUGUGAUGAUGAACAGAUGGCUGUGACACGCGGAAGGUGACCGCUCCUGAGUUUCCAAGUGCUGCGGUUGGGGCUGGGGCCAGCAAAGCCCCUCCCAUAUUGCAAGAGCGGGUUUGAGUGUGUCCCAGGAGGACACAGUCGGGAGCCUCCAAAGCUCUACCUGUCCCAGGCCCCGCUCCCCAGCUCCCUCAGCUUGCUCCUGGCGUCCACGGUGGAGUCAGAUGUUUCCGGGCACUUUCACCUUUGUACCUUUAAUGCAUGUUGAGGACUUUAAGGAAUUGUGGAUAAAUAGAGCGAUGGGCAGAGCCAGGUGACCACAGGGAACAGUGGCCCACAGAGGCUGCUGACGCCUGCACCCCAGGGGUGUGAUUUUGCCUCCUCUGCCUAGGCUUUGGUGGGAGGGGCAGCCUCUGCGGUCUGAGAAACAAAAACAUCCAAAACCUUCUUGUAAAA